CUCCUUUUUCUUUCUUCACUUGUUCUCCUUACCCUUUGUGUCUAUUUCCUUCUCAUCGCUGCACAUUCUGAUAAAACUCCUAGUCUACACUCCUCUCUUUUAUCUUCCCCAUUCCUCUGUCUAUCCUAUCCAUCAGUUUAAUUUUUCAGUUGCUCUCUUCACACUUAUAUAAAGACCAUUUUCUUUAAUUAGGAGAGAGAGAGAGAGAGAGAGAGAGAAAGAGUGAAAUAAAGCUAGCUAGCUAGCUA
rnacentral:lncRNA from 1 species